rnacentral:sRNA from 1 species
AUAAUUCUCAGGUGUACUGUUAACAUUUUAAUUUAAAAGUAUUUCUCUUAGCAGUUUUUGUUUUGUAGACAGUUCCCAUAAAAAUAUUUUAUCAGAAUUGCAGAACUGUAGUAACAGUUCAGUCAACUUUUUUUUUUUCCUGGGGUCACCAACCAGCUUCGGGAGGCACAGCCGCCACUCCCCCACUCCCCCAGUCUACUUCUUUAAAAAGCAUUUAACAUAUGGAGUUUCACUCUUGUUGCCCAGGCUGGAGUGCAAUAGCUCGAUCUCGGCUCACUGCAACCUCGCCUCCCUGGUUCAAGCAGUUCUCCUGCCUCAGCGAUUACAGGAAUGCACCACCAUGCCCAGCUAAUUUUGUAGAGAUGGGGUUUCUCCGUGUUGGUCAGGCUGGUCUCAAACUCCCGACCUCAGGUGAUCCGCCCACCUUGGCCUUGCAAAAUGCUGGGAUUACAGGCGUGAGCCACCAUGCCCAGCCAUGUUUGGGGCUUUAUUUUAUAAGUUAGAACUUUGAAGAGGAAAUGGUGCUAUAUGUUUAUUGUUAUUACUUUGUGUAACUUUGAUAUAAUGUUUAUAAGCUAUGAGAAUCAGUUAUAAAAGUAUUAGCCAUUUGUUGUAAAUGCCAAUAAAAUAUUCACCAGGGGCAAGAAUGUACAUUUUCUUUUUAGAAAACCAAAUGUACUUCAGACAUGAAUGCAACUAUUUAAAGAAUAGCUUCAUCUAUGUUAUUCCUUAUAUGUCAUAAGAUUCUUACUUAAACUUGGUCUUCUUUCAAGUUGUUUGUAUGAAGAUGCUGUACCCACUUGAACAGUCCUCAG